GAUGAACGCUGGCGGCGUGCCUAAUACAUGCAAGUCGAGCGAACGCACGGUAAGCUUUCGUCCCUGCUGUUAGCGGCUGACGGGUGAGUAACACGUGGAUAACCUACCUAUAAGACGUGGAUAACUUCGGGAAACCGGAGCUAAUACCGGAUAAUAUUUUGAACCGCAGGGUUCAGAAGUGAAAGACGGUCUUGCUGUCACUAUUAGCUGGUUCCGCGCUGCAUUAGCUAGUUGGUAAGGUAACGGCUUACCAAGGCAACGAUGCAUAGCCGACCUGAGAGGGUGAUCGGCCACACUGGAACUGAGACACGGUCCAGACUCCUACGGGAGGCAGCAGUAGGGAAUCUUCCGCAAUGGGCGAAAGCCUGACGGAGCAACACCGCGUGAGUGAUGAAGGUCUUCGGAUCGUAAAACCCUGUUAUUAGGGAAGAACAUAUGUGUAAGUAAAUGUGCACAUCUUGACGGUACCUAAUCAGAAAGCCACGGCUAACUACGUG
rnacentral:rRNA from 1 species